GCAUCUGAACCGUGCACGAGGAAUUUACCUCCUGGUAGUUCCUCGUUGGGAACGAGCGUUUUGGAGACCAGACCUGAAGGCGCGAGCAGUAGCACCGCCCUUCACCAUAAAUAAUCUUCCACAAGUUCUAAUAGACACAGCAACAGGCCUACCACCUUCCAAAGUGCAAGAGAUGGUAAUAGAAGUGUGGAAAUGUGGGGGUGGGCUCAGAGCCUAAGAGACUGGAAUGAGGACCAAAUUCAACUGCUCCAAGCCUCCUGGCGCCCAUCGACAAGGAAAACGUAUACAGUGGCUUGGAAGAGAUGGCUAAAAUGGUCAGAACAGCAGGGGUAUAAAUCCGUUAGCACCAUCAGGACAAAUUCUUGCUCGUUACUUGGCAGAUUUACAUAUUGUUGAUGGGCUUGCUUAUAACACAAUUAAUGUUCAUAAAUCCGUGGUAGCCACUUUAACCAACCCUUACAAUGUAAGCAGUUUGAGCUCGCAUUCACUAGUAUGUCAUGUGUUAAAAGCUAUAGCUUUACAAAAACCAAUAACUCAAAGGAAAGUUAUUUGGGAUAUUGACAUUUUAACUACAUACUUACGCAAUUGUACUGUAGACGAGACUAGUAUAUUUGCUGUUUCUCGACAAACUGCAAUAUUAUUACUCCUCUGCUCGGGUCGCAGGGUCCAUGAUUUAACUUUAUUAGCCACCGAUUCAAAGCAUUACUCAGAGGAAAAUGAUUCCUUAAUUUUAUGGCCGAUUUUUGGGUCUAAAACAGAUACUGCUACAUAUAGACAGUCUGGAUGGAGACUUCACUCCAAUAUUGAGAGUAAAAAUCUUGAUCCGGUUUAUUGGGUAAAGCUAUGUAAAACUCUGAUGCAGGAGAGACGACAGCAAACAGGAAUAACAAAUCUAUUUUUAAAUAUCAGAGGCCCACCAAAAGCAGCCUCUCGCACACUCAUAGCAGGUUGGGUAAAAUCACUAUUAAUAGAAGCAGGUGUGAUAGCAACCCCAGGAAGACUGAGAUCCGCUGUUGCCUCAAAAAGGUGGGAAAAUAACUGCCCACUAGAUGACAUUCUUUCUGGAGGAAA